AAAAUAUAUUCAUAAAAACUACAAUGGUAUUUCAAUAAUAAUAAAAAACACUUAAUUUUACAUUAUUUUUUAGGAGUCGGAUGGAUCUUUAUCAGUCCACCAGAAAACAAAUUCAAGUUUCCAGGCUGCUUCAGUAAGUUUGUCUGAAGAAGAAUUACUCCAGAGGUUUUUAACUGGUUCAUUUUAUGUGCAUUAUCUUUAUUUAGUUGUAUAUUAUAGAAAUUUGAAGUCAUGUAUGCCAAUUUAUCUCUUUCAGUAAUGAUUCCUCAUCAGUUUCUGUACUGGAAGCCAAAAUGUGACAAAACAAGCCAAACGGAAAGCGCUGCACAUUUAAGCUGGAAGUCCUGUUCAUUCAGAGCAUCGUCUGCUCCGGGCCGUCUGACCGUUCACCCCUCAUCGCCUGGCCUCCACCUCGCUCCACCAUCUCUCGAGUUCAUCCCUCCAUCCGCUGUCAUCGCUCUUCACAGCCUUUGUUUUCUCGCUGUCAGAAAUGAAUAAUUUUAAAAGUGUUUUGAGCUGUUUUGAAUAUCUGAUGUUUUUAGCAUAUUAUUAGUGCCUGCCGCACAGUGCAAGUACAGAAUGUGAAUUUAAAUGAGUUUAAAAUCUGAUCUGAGAUCCUGUUUACUGUCGAGCUAAAACAUUUAGCGCCUGUGUUCGCUCCAGCACUGCGAGGAAAGUUUGGGUAAAUUGUUUAAUGUGCAGGGCUGGAGGGAAAAGAUCGCGAGCAGAGCAAAAAGCAAACAGAGAUACAGAGCUGCACUCCUUCAGUCUGUCUGUCUCUCCUCUCUGUUCUCUGCGUCUGAAAGAGACGCGCUGGUGUGAUAGAGUUCACGCUGACAGCCUGACACCACUCAUCUGUCUCCUGAGAGUCAAUCAUUCCAGACAGCAAAAGUGUCUCUCAAGCUUCCUAUAGUGCAGAUCAGUAUCUCAAGAAGAUAAAUCUGGGCCUUGUUCAACUCUGAAUUGGGAUUCUGAUGACUUUCCAGCAAAUCCCUAUCAUUGCACCGAUAUCCUUUUGGCCUAUAGAUUGUGCAGAGCAUCCUGCAUUCAGCAGCUUAAAGACACCGGGAGAGACUGCGAGGCUGGAAAGUAAGGGACACAAAAGAGUGACAGGAAGAUGGAGGAAAAAAAGAAAAGAGUGCAUAACAGGGAAAAAGUGUUCAUUUCUGUCAGGAUGGUGUGAGCGAAACGGAGGGACGGGAGGAAGAGAUGAUUACAGCAGUGUAACUUCGGAGCAAAAGGACAGCGAGAGACGUUUCUGA
ensembl:lncRNA